rnacentral:rRNA from 1 species
UGGGGAAUAUUGGACAAUGGGCGCAAGCCUGAUCCAGCCAUGCCGCGUGAGUGAUGAAGGCCCUAGGGUUGUAAAGCUCUUUCACCGGUGAAGAUAAUGACGGUAACCGGAGAAGAAGCCCCGGCUAACUUCGUGCCAGCAGCCGCGGUAAUACGAAGGGGGCUAGCGUUGUUCGGAUUUACUGGGCGUAAAGCGCACGUAGGCGGACUAUUAAGUCAGGGGUGAAAUCCCGGGGCUCAACCCCGGAACUGCCUUUGAUACUGGUAGUCUUGAGUUCGAGAGAGGUGAGUGGAAUUCCGAGUGUAGAGGUGAAAUUCGUAGAUAUUCGGAGGAACACCAGUGGCGAAAGCGGCUCACUGGCUCGAUACUGACGCUGAGGUGCGAAAGCGUGGGGAGCAAACAGG